AUGUUUUACUACUAGAAACUUGGGUGUGUUGGCCAGCGCCGCCACUCACAAAUCUUGGCGGCGGAUGUGGAACAUCCUCUCUACCGCAGGCGUCAUGAGUGCGU
rnacentral:lncRNA from 1 species